AUGAGGUCAAAAACAAAGAAGACAAACUAAACAAAGCCAGCUCUGACACUUCCUUGUAGCACUGUGCCAUCUAGUAUUUCUGUGUCAUCGUCAUUCAUAAAAAAGGGGAAAAUAGGAUUGGGAUUGGAGCAAGGCAUAUAUGAGACAGGCAUGCAUGUGGGAUGAACCAAAACAUAAUAAACCAGAAAUCAGAUCACGAAAACUUGACUAUUUGGCAGGCAUUUUUACUUGAAUCUGGGAACUUUAAGCACAAACAUGAAUGGCUGUACUGAAGGAAUUGAGACCACACUUCAGAUAUCAUUUUGAACUUGAAUUUGAUUCAUCCUGAUGGACUUGGUCCGUGACUGGAGAUUUCAGACAGUUACUUGUGUCAAGUCAAUGCUGGUUUAAUAGAUGAUGUACAGUCUUUCACAUCAGGGUUAGAGUUAACAAUAGACCUAACCUAACCAGUGGCAGUAGGCGACAUAGGUGCUUGCCUAGGGCGCCACCUAGUGAGGGGCACUGUCGUAAUAAUGACUGUCUUUUCUUGGUUGAUCCAAACGAUUUCAAAGAUCAAAAAGUCGCAACGAGUCUUCAAGGCUGAGUGCAAUAGGACUUUAUUUGCCGGCAAAAAAGAACAGGAUCAGACACAGACAAAAUCCAUGAAAAACUGACCCGAGGCUCAAAGCCCUGAACAUCCUCUUUAAAUGCAGAAAAGUGGGUGUGUCCGUUCGGACAACAUGGCUUCAACCAAUCACUAUUCUGCUUAAUUUCUGCUGACACUGUUAUUUCUUUAUGGAAAAACACAAUAUUUUCUUAUGGAAAAUCCCCGUACCUCAAGUGGAAAAACACAGUAUUACCUUCUGCGCUUGCGCGAAGAUUGGCGUACGUGCAGAACUGCAUGUCAGCCAGUUGCUCUUCACCUUACUUUGUUUUUUUUAAAGAAGGUGCUCUCCCUGUGUCCUUAUCACUGGCUCUUAGAAACUCUGGCCUUCAGGCCUUCAGUUAACUCCCUUUCUUGAUGCAUCCCAUUAUAUCUGAUCACUCUUUGCACUGUAUUUUUAAACUUAAUGAAAGCGUUACAUAUUUGGUUAUAUGAUGUUAUUCUUAGAUUUGUGGUUACAUUUUCACACUUGACAUUAUCUGACUAUAUCAGCUUUAAUCAGCAGAUGCACUUUUCAGUCAGCUGGUGCCCAGUAGUUUGUUUCAGCAACCCUUUUACACUUGUUACCCUUUGUUUCUUACUUCCAUCAUUAUAACACUUACUAUCAGUUACCAUUAGUCACUAUCUACUUACUAUGGUUAUUUUACACUACAGCGGCGAGAAAAAAGUUAUCAUUAAAAUGAUAAGGUUUGUUUAUUUUUCUUUUUUUGCCAUCCCUCUAUCUACAAAUUGAAUUGAACGUAAGUAAAAGAAAUGACAAAUCUGACGUAUAGCCCCUUCAGCUGUUACACGUCACGGUUACAACAUGCAAGUGCCAGACUGAUGCGCAGUCGGCCUGUCAGCUGUGUGUGGAUGGGUCAAAGCUACAGUCCAGAAAGUGAAACGGCAAAAGACAUCCAGGGCAGACUUUCUCACAGAGAAAGAGAAGAGAAGAAGAGCAGGCGAAACGUGCCAAGGAGAAAGAUUGACUAAAAAUAUUAAGGACCACCUGCAGCAGAAUCAUCAGACCAGGAACAGCCAUGCACUUCAACUGCUCCGGUUACCUCAGGUGAGUUUAAUGUGUCAGUGAAUGUGAUGAUAAAAAUUUACUGACUCGUGUGCAAAUGACAAUAUGUUGUGCCAUGUCUCAUCCAGUCAAUGUAUUUGCACUUGUGUUUUCUCUCUAUGUUUAUGGACCUCGAGCUACCAGAGGAGACACUACAAUAGCAUGCUGCUCUUCCUGUCAGCCUCACCCUGCCUCUAACCACUGAGCCUGGAUGUUCAGAUGCAGCAAACACUGGCAGUUCCCCUUCAGCUUAUCCUGCUGACUGGCCUCUUCAUGUAACAGACCUAACAGAGUUGGUUAGGAGAGGGCCAUAUCAUGUACCACCUC